rnacentral:rRNA from 1 species
UACGUAGGGUGCAAGCGUUGUCCGGAAUUUAUUGGGCGUAAAGAGCUCGUAGGCGGUCUGUCGCGUCGGCUGUGAAAACUCGGGGCUCAACUCCGAGCUUGCAGUCGAUACGGGCAGGCUAGAGUUCGGCAGGGGAGACUGGAAUUCCUGGUGUAGCGGUGAAAUGCGCAGAUAUCAGGAGGAACACCGGUGGCGAAGGCGGGUCUCUGGGCCGAUACUGACGCUGAGGAGCGAAAGCGUGGGGAGCGAACAGG